UACGUAGGUGGCAAGCGUUGUCCGGAAUUAUUGGGCGUAAAGCGCGCGCAGGCGGUCUUUUAAGUCUGAUGUGAAAGCCCACGGCUCAACCGUGGAGGGUCAUUGGAAACUGGGGGACUUGAGUGCAGAAGAGGAAAGUGGAAUUCCAAGUGUAGCGGUGAAAUGCGUAGAGAUUUGGAGGAACACCAGUGGCGAAGGCGACUUUCUGGUCUGUAACUGACGCUGAGGCGCGAAAGCGUGGGGAGCAACAGG
rnacentral:rRNA from 1 species